CCCCACCCUUUGCUCCGCUCCCAGUUGCAGGAGCAGCUGCAGCGCCUCCUGCUGGUGAACGCUGAGCUGCGGCACAAGCUGGCGGCCGUGCAGACCCAGCUGCGCGCCGCGCAGGACCGCGAGAGGGAGCGCCAGCAGCCUGGCGAAGCCGCAACUCCGCAGGCUAAAGAGCGAGCGCGGGAGCAGGCCGGGCGGCCCGGGCACCAGCACGGACAGGAGCCCGAAUGGGCGACCGCCGGUGCAGGCGCCCCAGGGAACCCUGAGGACUCGGUGGAGGCUGCGCAGCAGCUGGGGUGCCCCUCGGAGGCAGGGCAGUGCCGCUUCAGUCGGGAGGAGUUUGAGCAGAUCCUUCAGGAGCGGAAUGAACUCAAAGCCAAAGUGUUCCUGCUCAAGGAGGAGCUGGCCUACUUCCAGCGGGAGCUGCUCACAGACCACCGGGUCCCCGGCCUUCUGCUCGAGGCCAUGAAGGUGGCUGUCCGGAAGCAGCGGAAGAAGAUCAAGGCCAAGAUGUUAGGGACACCAGAGGAGGCAGAGAGCAGCUUUGGCCUGUGGUAUCGGGGUAAAGCUGAAUCCUCUGAGGAUGAGACCAGCAGCCCUGCACCCAGCAAGCUAGGGGGAGAAGAGGCCCAACCACAGUCUCCAGCUCCUGAUCCGCC
rnacentral:sRNA from 1 species